CCGGCGACCGGCGGACGGGUGCGUAACGCGUAUGUAACCUACCUUUGACAGGGGGAUAACAUCGAGAAAUUGGUACUAAUACCCCAUAACAUCACCGGAGGCAUCUUCGGUGGUUGAAAACUCAGGUGGUCAGAGAUGGACAUGCGUUGUAUUAGCUAGUUGGUGAGGUAACGGCUCACCAAGGCGACGAUACAUAGGGGGACUGAGAGGUCAAACCCCCCCACAUUGGUACUGAGACACGGACCAAACUCCUACGGAAGGCAGCAG
rnacentral:rRNA from 1 species